rnacentral:rRNA from 1 species
UACGUAGGGACCAAGCGUUGUUCGGAAUUACUGGGCGUAAAGAGCUCGUAGGUGGUUUGUCGCGUUGUUCGUGAAAACUCACAGCUCAACUGUGGGCGUGCGGGCGAUACGGGCAGACUGGAGUACUGCAGGGGAGACUGGAAUUCCUGGUGUAGCGGUGGAAUGCGCAGAUAUCAGGAGGAACACCGGUGGCGAAGGCGGGUCUCUGGGCAGUAACUGACGCUGAGGAGCGAAAGCGUGGGGAGCGAACAGG